rnacentral:tRNA from 1 species
UCCGGCAUGCUCUAGUGGCUAGGAUACCUGGCUCUCACCCAGGAGGCCCGGGUUCGAUUCCCGGUGUCGGAA